rnacentral:rRNA from 1 species
UACCAGCACCCCGAGUGGUCGGGACGAUUAUUGGGCCUAAAGCAUCCGUAGCCGGUUCUACAAGUCUUCCGUUAAAUCCACCUGCUUAACAGAUGGGCUGCGGAGGAUACUAUGGAGCUAGGAGGCGGGAGAGGCAAGCGGUACUUAGUGGGUAGGGGUAAAAUCCGUUGAUCCAUUGAAGACCACCAGUGGCGAAGGCGGCUUGCUAGAACGCACUCGACGGUGAGGUAUGAAAGCUGGGGGAGCAAACCGG